CACCAUUAUCAGUUGAAGCUGCCAGCAUGAUCUUAAUCUCCCUCCAUCGUUGAGGGAAGAUCAGAUCAUGUGGCAGUUUCACCCGUUGUUGGU
rnacentral:pre_miRNA from 1 species